AAUAUUGGAAAAUGGGGGCAACCCUGAUCCAGCCAUGCCGCGUGAGUGAUGAAGGCCCUCGGGUUGUAAAGCUCUUUCACCGGUGAAGAUAAUGACGUUAACCGGAGAAGAAGCCCCGGCUAACUUCGUGACAGCAGCCGCGGUAAUACGAAGGGAGCUAGCGUUGUUCGGAAUUACUGGGCGUAAAGCGCACGUAGGCGGAUCGGUCAGUUAGGGGUGAAAUCCCGGGGCUCAACCCCGGAACUGCCUUUAAUACUGCCGGUCUGGAGUCCGAGAGAGGUGAGUGGAAUUCCGAGUGUAGAGGUGAAAUUCGUAGAUAUUCGGAGGAACACCAGUGGCGAAGGCGGCUCACUGGCUCGGUACUGACGCUGAGGUGCGAAAGCGUGGGGAGCAAAC
rnacentral:rRNA from 1 species